rnacentral:sRNA from 1 species
GCCGCCUCCUCUUCUUCCUCCUCCUCCUGGGCCGGGCUGAUCCCCUCCCCGCUGCCGCCUCCUCCUGGGCUGGGCCCGCGGUGUCUCGUCCCCUCGCGGAGCCGCUCCUGCCGCCGCCGCCGCGGACCGCAGCUGAAUGCACAGCUAGAAGGUUGGCUUUCACAAGUACAGUCUACAAAAAGACCUGCUAGAGCCAUUAUUGCCCCCCAUGCAGGAUAUACGUACUGUGGGUCUUGUGCCGCCCAUGCUUAUAAACAAGUGGAUCCGUCUAUUACCCGGAGAAUUUUCAUCCUUGGGCCUUCUCAUCAUGUGCCCCUCUCUCGAUGUGCACUUUCCAGUGUGGAUAUAUAUAGGACACCUCUGUAUGACCUUCGUAUUGACCAAAAGAUUUACGGAGAACUAUGGAAGACAGGAAUGUUUGAACGCAUGUCUCUGCAGACAGAUGAAGAUGAACACAGUAUUGAAAUGCAUUUGCCUUAUACAGCUAAAGCCAUGGAAAGAUGCAGAUUCUGCCCAAGAAGCCCCUGCAUUGCAGAGGGACUGGAGAUCUGUAUGAUCUGUUUAUUUCGCAAUUGACAGGCCAUAAGGAUGAGUUUACCAUUAUUCCUGUACUGGUUGGAGCUCUGAGUGAGUCAAAAGAACAGGAAUUCGGAAAACUCUUC